GCCUACGGGAGGCAGCAGUGAGGAAUAUUGGUCAAUGGGCGGGAGCCUGAACCAGCCAUGCCGCGUGAAGGCGAGUGCCCUACGGGCGUUAAACUUCUUUUGUGCGGGAGCAAUAAGGGCCACGUGUGGCCCGAUGAGAGUACCGCACGAAUAAGCAUCGGCUAACUCCGUGCCAGCAGCCGCGGUAAUACGGAGGAUGCGAGCGUUAUCCGGAUUUAUUGGGUUUAAAGGGUGCGUAGGCGGUAUUUUAAGUUAGUGGUAAAACGUCGGGGCUUCACCUUGAUUGGCCAUUAAAACUGGAAUAC
rnacentral:rRNA from 1 species